rnacentral:rRNA from 1 species
AGUAACACGUGGGGAACCUGCCCCAUAGUCUGGGAUACCACUUGGAAACAGGUGCUAAUACCGGAUAAGAAAGCGGAUCGCAUGAUCAGCUUUUAAAAGGCGGCGUAAGCUGUCGCUAUGGGAUGGCCCCGCGGUGCAUUAGCUAGUUGGUAAGGUAAAGGCUUACCAAGGCGAUGAUGCAUAGCCGAGUUGAGAGACUGAUCGGCCACAUUGGGACGGAGACACGGCCCAAACUCCUACGGGAGGCAGCAGAU